AUGGGAAUCUAGCACGGCCGCAAAUCUGACGUGCCCGCGUUUGCGGGCUUGGGAUUGCGGUAGUGC
rfam:Haloferax mediterranei ATCC 33500, complete genome.